rnacentral:rRNA from 1 species
ACGGGUGAGUAACACGUGGGCAACCUGCCCCCGGCUCUGGGAUAACUCCAAGAAAUUGGUGCUAAUACCGGAUAUUCUUCUUUCACCGCAUGGUGGUUGGAGGAAAGUUUCUCGGCUGGGGAUGGGCCCGCGGCCUAUCAGCUUGUUGGUGGGGCGAUGGCCUACCAAGGCGACGACGGGUAGCCGGCCUGAGAGGGUGACCGGCCACACUGGGACUGAGACACGGCCCAGACUCCUACGGGAGGCAGCAGUGGGGAAUAUUGCGCAAUGGGCGGAAGCCUGACGCAGCGACGCCGCGUGAGGGAUGACGGCCUUCGGGUUGUAAACCUCUUUCAGCAGGGACGAAGCGCAAGUGACGGUACCUGCAGAAGAAGCACCGGCCAACUACGUGCCAGCAGCCGCGGUAAUACGUAGGGUGCAAGCGUUGUCCGGAAUUAUUGGGCGUAAAGAGCUCGUAGGCGGUUUGUCGCGUCGGCUGUGAAGGCCCGGAGCUCAACUCCGGGUCUGCAGUCGAUACGGGCAGACUUGAGUGUUGCAGGGGAGACUGGAAUUCCUGGU